GGGGGGCUGCCAUGGGUAAUUGUGGAACUAAGUGAACUACUAUCACAAAAAGAUGCAACUCUAAAGGAGUGGUCAAAAGUUCUUGACCACUUAAAUCAAGAUCAAGAGCCCUGGUUAAAAAUCCUAGAUGAGAUUAACAAGCAUUUACCUUUGCAUUUGAGAAGAUGUCUCUUUUAUUUUGGAUUAUUUCCAGCAGGCUUUAAGAUCCCUGCAAGAAGAUUGAUUGCCUUGUGGGUUGCAGAAGGUUUGGGGCGCCAACAGAGUAAUGAACAAUCCCCUGAAUAUGUUGCAGAGGCAUGCUUGAUAGAGUUAAUGAACUAUAAUAUGGUUCAGGUGACAGAAAAGAAACUCAAUGGGAAAGUUAAGACAUGUUGCCUACCUGAAGCUCUGCUAGUACACUGGUUCUCAAAAGCCAAGGAAGCUAAUUUUCUUCAAGGUCAUUCUGACGUUUCCAACUCCAACAUAGGUGUAAUACGCCGUCUUGCUGACCAUCUUCAGCAGAGUGAUGCCAUCUUUGAUGAUAUUCAUGGUUACAGCAAUGCUUCCUUGUACUCUCGCUACAGAGAUGUGGUCUCCUUUUUAUCCUUUGAUACACGAGAAGGAAGCAGACCUGGAGAAGAUAUAGGGAACUUUCUCGAUAGAUCCAUCUCAAGCAAAUGCUUCCGGUUCCUCUGGGUGUUGGAUCUGGAAAAUGUAUACAAGCCAAAACUGCCCAAGGCAGUGGGUCAAUUGACUUGUUUGAGGUAUUUUGGCUUGAGAUCAACAUACCUGGAGAUGCUUACUGUGUCCAUCAACAAAUUGCUGAACCUUCAAACACUGGACUUAAAGCGCACUUUCAUCGACACUCUUCCCAGUUCAAUAUGGAAGAUGCAAAAGCUAAGGCAUUUGUUUCUUGAUGAGAGUUUCCAUAAUGCUUUGCGUCGACAAGAAGACAGCUCUCUCGUGGACCUUCAAACGCUCUGGGGUGCAUUUGUGGAUGAGGAUAGUCCUGUGAGAAAUGGCCUGGACACUUCAUUGAAUAUUACAAAAUUGGGAAUGAAAUGUAAGAUAUCUGUGCCCUCUCAAAAUGCAGCAAUGUCCUUACAACUGGAUAAUGUGGCCAACUGGGUUGUAAAACUAAAACAACUUCAAUGCUUAAGGUUGAAAUCAUUUGAUGAAUCAGGCCAGCCAUGGGAUCUGCAGUUGCAGUCUUUGAUAGAGCAUGUGAAACUUUCCAAUAUAUAUUUGGUUGGAAAGCUAAAGAAUCAGCACCUUGUAUCUGAGUUACCAAAGAGCCUGAUUGAACUCACCUUGUCAGCAUCCGGAUUAGUAGAGGAUCCAAUGCAAGCAUUGUACAAGCUACCCAACCUCAAAAUCAUUAGACUCUUGUCCAAAUCCUUCAUUGGAAAGAAAAUGCUCUGCAGUUUUGGAGGAUUUCCAAAGCUUGAAAUCCUAAAGCUCUGGGAGCUCGAGCUGCUGGAGGAGUGGAAUGUGGAGGAAGGAGCACUGCCUAGCCUGAAAGACUUGGAAAUCAGAUCCUGUAGAAAUUUAAAGAUGCUUCCUCAUGGACUUCAGCAUGUUGGGACUCUUCGUGAAUUAAAAUUAACAAAAUUGCCAAUGGUAUCAUCAAGGAUUAAGGAUAAUCUUGGUGGGGAAUGUGAUAAGAUUGCUCAUAUACGCCAUGUGUGGAAGGAGGAUUGAUAAUCCUUAGCAGAAGUCCAACCAAGAAUGGGUAUAUUUUCUCUGUUUAUCUAACAUCUAUAGCAUUUGAUAUAUUAGAAUUUUUUACUUAAUUAUCAUGAUAAUAAUUAUUUUACCAGUGUUAUAUUGCUGAUUCAUUCAGGAUAUGUUCUCAAGGUCAUGAUUCAGAGGAAAUCAAGUGAAAUGAUGGCUCAUUUUCCAAUAUUAUUUUGUGUUUUUUUCUGUUUUUAUUUUCUUUUAUUUUUUCUUUUCCUUUAUUCAGUUUACAGAUCUGUGUAAUUUAAGUGUAAUGUAAUUUUUCCUGUAUGCUUUCCAAGUGGUUAAAGGUUCAAUUUCACCCUUAUACUUAUUGGUAAAGUUUAAUUUAGCCUUUGUUUUUUUUUUUAUUAGUUCAAAAGUUUCAAUUUUAAGCUUAAUUUUGUUGAAGACUUUAUUUGUUUGUGGAAAAUAAUUUAUAUGCAGAAAUUAUUUUUUAUGAAUAAUAUUUUGUAUUAUUUUAAUAAAAUAAUUUAUUUUUUAUUUUUUAAUUUUAAUUUAAAAAAUAAAAUAUAUUAAUAAAUUUAUAUAUUUAAAUCUUAAUAAAAAUUUUAAAUGCAGUAAAUAAUUUAAAAUAGUUUAAUUUUUUUUUAAAAAGGAAAGUCAUUUUUAAAUGAUUUUAAUCAAUGAAAUAUCUUUCAUUAAUUAAUCUAUAUUAUAUAUAAAAGUGGAAAGAGGAGGGAUAAUAUGAUUGCCGGUUUUAUAUUAUAUUUUUUAACUAUUUACGAUUAAUUUUAAAUUUUAAAAUAGAUAAUUAUUUUAUUAUUUAAAUAAUUUUUUAAAAUAGUUUUAAAUAUUUAUCAUUUUUUCAAAUGAUGAAUUUUUUAUUUAUGAAAUUAAUUAAUUCUAUUUAAUAAUUAUACAGGAUAAUUAUUAAAGAUUAAUAAUUUUGGUAAUAUUUAAAUUAUUUUUUUAGAUAAGAUUACUAAAAUAAUAAGUUUGAAUACUUAGUUAAAAAUAUUAAAAUAAUUAUCAUAUAUCGUAUUAUUAGAUUUACAUUUAAAUAUUAAAUAAUUAUAAAAAUAAUAUAAAAUAAAAAUUUUAUUAAUAUUAAAUUAUUCAAUAAUAAGUAGUUUUUCUAAUUACUAAUAAUUAUAUCAAAAUAAAAAUUAAAUAUUAAUUAAUUAUAAAAAAGAAUAUAAAAAGAAUAGUUUUGAUAAUAUAAAAUUAUUAAAUAAUGUGUUGAUCUUUUAAUUAUAAUAAUUAUAUUUUAUUUUUAAAGUAAAAAUAAUAAUUAUUAUUAAAAUUAAUUUAAAAUUAGUAAAUAAGUAUAUAAAUUUUAAGACACUCGGCUUAAUGGUGAGUGUAUUUGAAUAAAUUUAAAAGAUAUCAAGUUUUACUUCCCAAUCCUUCAAUUCUCACAAAACAGAUAGUAUAUAAAUUUUAAGAUGUACAUAAAUAGUAAAAAAAUCAAAUUUUACUAUUAGAAAUUAUAGGAUAAUAAAUGAUAAUAUAACUCGGAUAAUGAUAAAUUAAUUUUUAAUUAAAAAUAUUAAAAUAUUAAAAUAUUAUAGUAAUAUUAAAUUAUUAGAUAAUAAGUCUAAAUUUAUAAAAUUAAAAUUAUAAGAUAGUAAUUAAAAAAUUAUCAACUAUAUAUAUAAAAAAAAAUCUAAAAAAUUUUAUAGUAUAAUCUAAAAACUUCUUUAUGUAAUUAUAAAAGAUUAAUAAUUUUAAUUAUAUAAAAUUAUCAUACAAUAAGUUGUUACUUUAAUUAUUUAUUAUUAUAUUUAAAUGUUAAAGUAAACAAUAAUUUUUAUUAUCUCCAUUUAUUUAAAUCAAUUAAAUAAAUAUGUAAAUUAUUUUUAAUGUAUUAAAUUAAGUUUUAAAAUAAUUAAGAUAAUUUAUUUAUUAUUUUUAUUAUUUUUAGUACAUCUCUUUAUUCUAAAAAUUUUUUAAAUAAUAUUUUAAUUUAUAAAUACUAAUUAUCUUUAACAUGGUUUUAUUUUGUUUAUACUUUUAUAAUUAAUUUGUUGAUGACAUUAUUAAUAUGGAAAAAAUAAUAAUAAUCAAUAAAUAAAUUAUUUUUAUUGAUAAUUUAUAAUUUUGAUAAAAAAAUUUAAAACUAUUAAAUUUUAUUGUUGGUUGGAUUACAUAAUUUAAAAAUUUACUCAGCCAAUUAAAAAAUUAAUAUUAGCUAAUUUUAAAAUAAAUAUUAUAUUUUAUUAUAAAAAAUAUUUUCAUAUAUUUUAUAUUUAUUUUCUUAUUAUAAAUUUUAUAAUAAUUUAUUUUUUAUAGAAAAUAAAAAUUGAAAGUAUUAUAUUUAAAGUUGAUAUAUUUAAGUAUUCAUUUGAAAAGAAUAAUCCUACUAUUUACUUUAAUAUUUUACAAAAAAUUUGAAUUAAUUAAGAUUUUAUAUUGUUUUAUAACAUAAAUCAAGAAGCUUAAGUUGAUAAAUUUUGGAUUAAUUUUUUAUUUUCUAAAAAUAUGAAGAUUUUUUUAAACUUUUAGAAUAAAUUGAACUCGAAAUUUAUGGAUUCAUUUGAAAAAAAUAAGAAUAAUUGCCUACUUUGAAUGGUUUGGUUUAGGGAUCAUAAUUCUAAACUAAGGGAUCAUGAUAUUGAUAUCAUGGAAAUCACCUUUGCCUAAUCAAGCGGCUUGGUUUAAGGAUAAUGAUUUGCAUAGGGAACAUGCUAUGAUGGAAUGAAAAUUAUUUAAAUUUGAUGUAAAAGCCUUUUUGUUGCUGGUAUCACAGCCUCCCUCCCAUCCUCUUUUUCUCAUUCCAAAGGAUUGAGAUCCAUCGUUUUCUUUCAUUUUUUUGGUGAUGUAUGUUUCUUUUGCUGUCUGGUGGCUACUCUUUUCUUCUAUAUUUUUGAAGGUUUUUUUUUAAUUGAUGCUUGACUCCUUGCUUUUUUAGUAUGUUGUUUAUACUUUGACUAUAUUUUUUAGAGUUGAAUAUUUACUUGCAGUUUGACCAAAGAGAGAGAUGAUCGAAAAAUAACACGAUGCAACUAUCGCUUUUCUUUAGGCGGAUCUUUAAUUUUCUGUUAAUAUUGGAUGUAUUUAAGGUUUUAUCUUGGAUUUCAUUACUCUUUCCAAAGGAUUGAGAUCCAUUGUUUUCUUUCAAUUUUUCGGUGAUGCAUGUUUCUUUUGCUGUCUGGUGGCUACUCUUUUCUUUUGUAUUUUUGAAGGUUUUUUUUUAAUCGAUGCUUAACUCCUUGCUUUUUUAGUAUGUUAGUUUAUACUUUCACUAUAUUUUUGGGAGUUGAAUAUUUACUUGUUUUUUGGCCAAAAAGAUGGAUGAUCAAAAAAUAACACGAUGCAACUAUCUGUCUUCUCUAAGCGGGUCUUUAGUUUUCUGUUAAUGUUGGAUGGAUUUAGGGUUUUAUCUUGGAUUUCAUUUCUCUUUUCAAAGGAUCGAGAUCCAUCGUUUUUUUUUGCAAUUUUUCGAUGAUGCAUGUUUCUUUUGUUGUCUGGUAGCUACUCUUUUCUUCUGUAUUUAAGGUUUUUUUUUAAUUGAUGCUUGACUCCUUUCUUUUUUAGUAUAUUGUUUAUACUUUGACUAUAUUUUUGAGAGUUGAAUAUUUAUUUACUGUUUGGCCAAAAAGAGAGAUGAUCGAAAAAUAACACGAUGCAACUAUCUGUUUUCUCUAAGCGGGUCUUUAGUUUUCUGUUAAUAUUGGAUGGAUUUAGGGUUUUAUCUUAGAUUUUAUCUGGUUAUCUUUUUAUUUGAGUCUUAGUAGAUUUAUGAUGAUUGUAUAGACUAUUUGUACUUAAAUUUUAAGCAUUUUGCUGUGAUGAAAUAUAUUUUAGAAAAAAAAAUAAAUAAAUUUUACCUUUAAUUCCUUUUAAUUACUCUAUGCAUGUACCAAAUUAAAGGAAGAAAUCUAUGUAAAUAUUUCAUCAAAUGGCUUGUGAGGAGAGAGUUUGAUAGUCUUUCUCCAUAAAUUUAAUUUAGUUAAAAGUUAAAUUUAUUUUUAAAUUAUAUAAUGAAUAAAAAAUAUCAAGUUUUAUCUUUUUAUUUAAAUUUACUUUUAAUUAUUAUUAAAAAUUAAAUAAUUUCAAGUAGAGUUUGAUAAAGUCAUUCUCUAUUAUACAUUGAUUUCUUUGGCUUUGGCUCAAUUAUAGAGGGAGGAAUUGGAAGUGAUAUCUAAGAAAUUUACUAUAUGAAAGCAAAGAAGAAAAAGAAAGACUUUGAAAUGAAUAAAGCCAAUUCAUUGACUAAUGACUACCUUUUUUCAUUUGGGAUCUUUCCCUUGCAUCUUCUUGUGGAAGUUUAGAAGAUUUUGAUUCAAUUUUUUAUAUGAAUUUUAUUAACUCCUUUAUUUUUUAAAAUUACAAUCAAAUAACAGAAAAAUUGAUAUAUUUUCUUCAAAACAUUCUGACAAAAAUUUUUUAAAAAAAAUUAAAAUUUUAUAAAAAUUUAAUUCAAUUCAAUUUUUUAAAGUUUAUUGGUUGAAAUAAAAGAAAUUUUUUUUGGAAACAUAAUUUUUUUUAAAUUAAACCAAUGGAAAUUUCUAAAGUUUUUAUUAAUAAUACCUCUUAAAAAAGAAAUAAAAAACAAUGUUCUCUAAAAAAGUAUAUAAAGCUUUGGCUUUGCUUAACUUCUUGCAAGAGAUGAGUUGAAUGACAAAUAGUAGGAAAAAGUGGAGACAAGUAAAGAAAAGAAAAAAAAAAUACUAAUUAUUUUUAUGAAUAUGAUUUUAAGAAUGUCACAAUGGAUUCCCUACAUAUGAAAAUACUUUAAAUUUGUAAUGAUUUGAAUAUUUAAUUAGCAUUCAAUUAUUUUUAUAAUGAAAAAGCAAAAUUUAUCUGCCAAUGUGAAUUGAGGAAGAAAAAGAAAAAGAAAAAGGAUCAUGAUUAAAGUGAAGUUGGAAAAAUGUAUCAAAAGUUUGAAUAACAAAGCCAAGGUAUAUAACCUAAUGGAGGGUUAAUUUUUUUAAUAUUUGUAAUUAUUUAAUUCUUUUAAUUUGAGUUAAUUUUUUUAAUUAAUAGUUGAUUCACGAUAAAUUUAAUAAAAUAAUCAUUUUAUUAAUGAAAUAAAAAUUAAAUUGCUUAUAAAUUAUCAUGUGAAUUACUCUUACUUUUUUUUAUUUCAUUAAUUUAUUGCUUGGUUUAACAAUUACCAUAAGACGGUUAAUUUUGUAAUUUUUUUAGAAAAUUAGUCAUUAAUAAUUAAUGACGGUAAUUAAAGAGUCAAAAUUAGUAACUUUGAGGAUUUCUUUUUUUAUCAAUGUAUAUAAUAUUGCAUUUUUUAAGGACUAGAGUUCGAUUGAUUCAUCAAAUAGAACCAAUUAUUAAUCCAAUAGAAAGUUCAUUCAACUAACCCAAACAACCAAGCAAACCAAAUAAUUCACUAACUCUGAAAAUUAAAACAAAUCAAACUGAUCAAUUAAAACUAAAAUCAAUAGAAAUCAAAUGAUGAUAAAAUCAAUCAAUAGUAAUGAUCUCACAUCAUAACAAAAACUGACCCUUCACCACAAUCACUGAAUGAAAAUAAAGCACUAGCAUGUAAAAUAGCAACACCAUUGAAGGGGUGAGCUAUUAAAUUAGCUUGUUUCCUUAUUCAAGAUAAAGUCCACCCAGAUUCUUGAGAUAAUAAAUUCCUAUAAUCGUCAUUAACUUGACCAAAUUCAAAAAUAUCAAAAUGCAUGUUUUAAAUUGCAUCUACAACAACUUUGGUAUUCAUUUCAAAACUUACAUUCGCUAUCUGCUCACGACUUAGCCAACAAAAUGACUCACGCAAUGCUAAAGCUUCUAGUAUAGUAAUGGGGAGAAUGGAAUCAAAGUAACCUGUUAAUCCCAUGAGGAAAUGACCUCGAUGAUCUCGUAAAACUGCUGCAUAGGUAGAACGCCUACUCUGAUUUUGAAUGCCAACAUCCACAUUAUAUUUCAACUUAUCAUAGUCUGGUAGAGUCCAAGUGGGAAUCGAAACAUGUCUGCGAAUGUUCUCUAUCCUAUCCUAGCAUGAAAAGUCUUCCAUUCACUCAAAACAUUAACCCAGCUUCCACUACUUCAUCUGCACUCGACGAUAUAUUAUAUCAUAGGAGCCAAUUACGUCGUGUCCAUAUACUCCAUGCCACAAUACAACUUUCUCCUUUAAGUCUUGUAUUGAAGUUUGCCAAAUAAAACUCAAAAAAUCAUUGACAUUAUUGUGUGUUAGUGUAUCUGUAUGUAAGCCAAGCAACUGCCAAUAGCAUUGUGUGAACAAGUGAGGAAAACAUGGUGAGUGUUCUCCACAUUUGAGCAAUAAAUACAGUAAGCAUUAAUAUCAAUGAUUUUUGCCUAAGAUUUAAUUUUGUUGGCAAGAUCCCUCUUAAUAAUCUCCUUAAAAAGUUCUUGAAUUUUGGAGGUACAUGGAGCUUCCACUCACCUGGCAUAGCAUAAUUGGCUGCACUAUUAUCAACAUAAACAACAACAUAAUAGCCAUAUUUAACAUUAUACUUUCUUAUCUUAUUAAAAUGCCAAAUUAGUUUAUUUUCUUGCUCAGUUAUGCUCAAAUGAAUCUUGAAGAUCUAUUUUACAUCCGUGGGGAGAAAGAAUUCUAAUAGGAGAUCGCCUGAUUAACCCAGCAACAGUAAGGUUACUUUCAAACCCUUACAUCAAGACCAUUACCUAUUCUCCAUCUUAAUCCUUUAAGCAACAAUGGUUAAGCUUGCAAUAAGCUUUUCCAACAAAAAUGGGGAUUAGACCCUUCUUUUGCAAACAAAAAGUUUACUCUUGAAAAAUAUUUUGUUUUGAAAAUUCCACUAAAUAAAGCAUUUCAGUUAGUAAUUAUCCUCCAAUUCUGCCUGCGAAGCAUUUGUAUAUUAAAAUGAUAAAAACUUUGAAAACCCAUCCCUCCUUAUUCUUUCCCUAAACACAUCUUCUCCUAGGUUAGCCAAUGGAUCCGUCUAUGUCCAUUCUCUUUGGAAUCCUAUCGGGAAGAGUUUAUUAUUCUUUAGAGCUCCUGACAUAAAGUAAUAGGGAGUGAAAACACUCAUACAAUAAAUCGAAAUUGCUUGUGCUACAAAUUUUAAUAAAAUUUCCUCACUUGCACUUAAGAGAAAUCUUCCAUACCAGCUAUGAAUACGCCUCCAUGCUCUUUUUUUGAGAAAAUAAAAAACUUAUUUUUUUAUUGCAUCCUAUUAAUAGUAGAAGAUCAAAAUAUUUGCUAUGAUUAAGGGAAGAUAAGACCCCUAAUUCUCUAAAAGCCGCAUUUUUAGCUUCUUCAUCCACAUUAGAGCUGAGAAAAAAUCUAAUUUCUGAAAAUUAACAACUUAUCUUGAAGCACUCUCAUAAAUCUGGAGGAUAUUUUUGACAUAUCUGCACUCCCGUAUUGUUGCUCGAAAAAAGAAGAAACAUGCAAAGAUCCAUCUUAAAAGUAAGAGUCUAGGAAAAUUAUCAAAAAAUAAGUCUAAUAUAAACUCCCCAUAAAAAAACGGUGCUAGAAACUUAAAAUAUAAAAUCAAAUUAAACAAUAAAUAAUAAAAUGAAAAAAAAACAAUGAAAUGACUGAAAACAAAAUCAAAACCUUCUUCAGCAAUGAAAGUGAAAAAACAACUUCAGAAAACAAAGGCUGGUAUUUGAACAGAUUUUGGUGAAAUCUAGGAAUGAACUGGACAUAAGUCUUUCUAGGCAAUUAUGUGCUCAAAGGGGUGAUCAGAUACUCAGAGAAAUGGAUUGCUUUGACAAGAUUGGCUGGAGUGUUGAAACAGAAUUUGAUCAAAGCAUUCUUCUAUGGCACAUUGCCACCGAUCUCUGCUUCUACGUUGAUCUUAACAAAAAGUCCAAUGUAAUUGAAACCCCGCUAUGCAAAGAAAGCAAAUCUUUAUCAGAAUACAUGCUGUAUCUUCUAGUUAUGUGCCCUUUCAUGCUUCCUAAUGGGAUUGGACAGAUGAGAUUUCAAGACACCUAUGCUGAGGCCACCCAAUUUUUACAAGAAAAAAAGCACAUCUCAGAUGAAAACAAAGCUUGCACUGCAUUACUUCAAGUGAACACUGAUAUUGUUCCAUCUCAAGUGAAAGGAGAUAGAAGCAAGACAGUGUUAUUCGACGCGUGUAGGCUCGCCAAAUCCUUGCAGGCUUUGGAGACAGAAGAGCAAUGGACAAGUGAGAAGAAGUGGGAGAUGAUAAAUCAUGUGUGGAUAGAGAUGCUUUCUUUUGCUGCAAAUCAGUGUGGAUCAAUCAACCAUGCCAAGCAACUCACAGGAGGAGGGGAGCUGCUCACUUAUGUCUGGCUAUUGAUGGCUCAUCUGGGUAUCACUGAACAAUUUCAGAUUUCUAAGGGCAAUGCAAGGGUGAAGUUGAUUUUGAGCUGAAGAUUCUUGAGGAUAAAAUCAUUGUUUGUGAUUUAAAUUAUAAUCAAAUAUAUAUUUAUAUUCAUGAAUUGUUUCAUAUUAAUAUAUUAACCACUUGAAUUAAUAUCGUAACAUAUUAUAAUCUAGAAGUUUUCCUAAAUUUUUCAUAAAAUGGUAAAAAUUUGAAGUUCAGUUCAUUGGGUUAAUUUGAAGGAAUAAUUACAAAAAAAUUAUCCCAUUAUCGGUAUUUUUUAGUAGGAUAUUGUGAUUUAAUUUGAAAAAAAUAUUUGGUUUUAUUUUAUUAGAAAAGUGCUAAAAAUGCGAUUUUUCUCUAAUAAAUGUUGAUAUAAUAUUUAAAAUUAAAUAAAUAUAAUUUUUAAUUAAAGUAUUUUAAUUCUUAAUAUUUUAUAAAAUAUAUAAUUAAUUUUACAUAUUAUUAAAUUUAGUUAUAAAAUUUUAUUUUAUAAUAAAAUAAUUCAUUUAAUUAUAAUUUAUCUCAAUAUUCUUACAAAUCACCCUAAAGAUUAUAAUGACUUAUAAAUAAAUAUUUAUAUUUUUUACAAUCUAAUCUCCAUAUUUAUUAAAUUUAAUAUCUUAUAUUUAACAACAAAUUAAUGAAAUAAAAAUUAAAUCAAGAAUAUUAACAUAAUAUACAUCUAAAUUUAAACUCAAAACAUUUUUCUCUAUGUAACUUUUCUUUUUCAAUGACUUCUUUUUAUUUAAUUAGGACCAAAAAGAUGAUAGAUUUUUUAUAUAAUUUUUAUGUUAUUAUUUUUUAUAUAUAAAAUAUUAAAAUUUAAUAAAUAUAGAGAUUAAUUUUCUCCUUCCCACAAAAUGAGAUUGUUUGUAUUGGUUGGAAAUGGAGAGACCUAAGAUUGUUUGUAUUGAAAAUUCUUUAGUUUAAAGUUUUUUUUUUUUUUUCAAUUUAUAAGGGUAUUAUAGUAAUUAAGAACGGCAUUCCAGAAAGCAACUCCACUUAGUCAACCAGAAAGCUACUCGCGAAUAAAGAAAUGCUCCUUGUGAAUAAAGAAGAAGGAGAAGGAGCUAUCUGUUUUUUCAGAACUAGCACAAGCAUUGAGGAAACCGAUUGUGAGAAAAAUUGAAGAAGAAGAAGAAGCAUCAAAGAAACCAGCGCAAAUGGCGAGAAAAAUCGUAUCGUCUGUGUUGGGAAAAAUUUCCAAUCUUCUUAUCCAAGAGUCAGAUUCACUGCUUGGAGUAGAAGAUCAAAUUCAAUGCAUUGAAACCCAAUUGAGAAAGGAUGCUGAUAUGUCUGUUAAUUUUUCUGAUAAGAAGGCUUUCAAAGAAACAGUUUACGAUCUUGAAGAUGUGAUUGAUCAGUUAAUUAUCAAAUCAGCCCAGAGAAGAAUCAGAUAUGCUUGCAUUCGCUCUGUUAUGGCUUUCGUUCAUCUGCCAAUGUCUUUAUUUUAUAUUUUGGCUCUUGUUGAUUUGCUAGAUUGUUACAGGCUUCGUGAGAAACUAGAAAAGAUUAAGAUUACAAUUUCCCCGCGUUAUCGUCCAGUUAUGCAGUCUGGUUACUGGCACAAGUCCUUUGGCAUAUACGAAGUGGGCAUUGGCUACUCUGUAAUUUCUCCUGUUAUGGGUUUGUUUGAGGCCUUAGCCACUCAGCAGGAGCUUCGUCCUGAUGUGCGACGGCAAGCCAGGAGAUUAAGAGACGAAUUCAGGUCUUUGCACGACUUUCUAAAAUAUGUUGAACAAUCAAAAGAAUUAAGUGAAGCAGGAAUGGCUUGGAUGGAGGAACUCUGCGAUGUUUGUCGCUCAGCUGAGAAUGUUGUUGGUUUCUUCAUGCAACAGAUGAAGAACGGGAGGAGAGGACCUUUCCAAAACUUGGUCUGGGCUCCCCGGCAUGUCAUUUCCCAGCAUAAGCUUUUCCGGCAGAUGGCCCGGAUUAAUGAUAAGAUCCGUCAUCUUUCUGGUAGAAGACAUAAAGCUAUUGCAAUGUUAAGGAGUGACAAUUUUAAAAGCUUAUAUCAAAAGAGAAAGCCACAUCCUCUUGAUGCUGAUCAACUUGAUAUAGUUAGCUUCCAUGAGGAUGUAGAUGCAGUUACGGCACAGCUGCUGAAAGAUGAUCCUCGCUGCAUCACCAUUUCAAUUGUGGGGGUCCGAGGCGUUGGAAAGACAAGCCUUGCAAAGUUAAUCUAUGAAAGCCAGACUAUUGUAGACCAUUUCCCUCGUCGUAUCUGGGUGUCUAAUGUAUGUCAAUUGUGGCAGGUAGUGAAUGAUUUCUUCUUGGAUGAGAAGCAUCUCAUAGUUGUUGAUGACUUGUGUUUAAAGGAAGCUGGCAAUCCAAUAGAAUUCUUGAGAAACAUGGGAAGAGUCUUCAAUGACAUAUCAAAUGGAACAAGACUACUUGUCACAGUUUCCAAUUUGAGGAAAGCUCCACCAGUUACUGAAACUAGUUUAACUUACAGCCUGCAUCUUCGAAGCCACGACGAGAGCUGGGCGCUGUUCACGCACACUUUGAAGGUAAACAUCUGCCGAGAGAUGGAGAAUCUUAAGGGACACAUCAUAAGAAAAUGUGGGGGGCUGCCAUGGGUAAUUGUGGAACUAAGUGAACUACUAUCACAAAAAGAUGCAACUCUAAAGGAGUGGUCAAAAGUACUUGACCACUUAAAUCAAGAUCAAGAGCCCUGGUUAGAAAUCCUAGAUGAGAUUAACAAGCAUUUACCUUUGCAUUUGAGAAGAUGUCUCUUUUAUUUUGGAUUAUUUCCAGCAGGCUUUAAGAUCCCUGCAAGAAGAUUGAUUGCCUUGUGGGUUGCUGAGGGUUUGGGGUGCCAACAGAGUAACGAACAAUCCCCUGAAUAUGUUGCAGAGGCA
rnacentral:lncRNA from 1 species